rnacentral:rRNA from 1 species
UAACCUGCUAAAUAGCCAGGCUCGCUUUGGCGGGUCGCCGGCUUCUUAGAGGGACUAUCGGCUCAAGCCGAUGGAAGUUUGAGGCAAUAACAGGUCUGUGAUGCCCUUAGAUGUCCUGGGCUGCACGCGCGUUACACUGACAGAGCCAACGAGUUCAUCUCCUUGACCGAGAGGUCUGGGUAAUCUUGUUAAACUCUGUCGUGCUGGGGAUAGAGCAUUGCAAUUAUUGCUCUUCAACGAGGAAUGCCUAGUAAGCGCGUGUCAUCAGCACGCGUUGACUACGUCCCUGCCCUUUGUACACACCGCCCGUCGCU